GAAAUCUGGAAAAAAAGAAAAGUUGUUUACAUUUCAGAGGAAUUUAAAAUGUUUCCUGGACUAGUAUAUUAAUUCUGUUUGGACAACGACUGCUUAAACCCAAAAUGUUGUAAGAUUCUACAGCAGAGCAAUAGCUAAUCUUGACAGUAUGGAUUUUCCACUGUGUCUCUACUUAAACUGAUACACACUCCCUGUGAUAACACUCUCCUACACUGACUGAAAGGUUACUUGGAAGGCUGUGCAGUUUCUGCCAUACACUUCUGCCUUUCUGGAGUCCUCACUGCAUACUAUGUUAGUGUUGACUGGUUUGACACCAGGCUUACACUUUGGACCAUGACAUUUAAGUUGUUACUAAGAAUUUACUACUGUCUUGUUACUUAUUUACAACUUUGCCACUUAUUAAAAAAAAAAAAAAAAAAAAAAAAAAAAACCCCCCCCCCCCCCCCCCCCCCCCCCCCCCCCCCCCCCCCCCCCCCCCCCAAAAAAAAAAAAAAAAAAAAAAAAAAAAAAAAAAAAAAAAAAAGUUUUUCCUGAAGCAAAAUACAGAAUUUGUGAAUAUUUUGAUUGACUUCCUCUCAGAAGAGCAGUCUCACCUUCGAGGAAAGACAGCACUGCACAGAAGAGAGCUGGUGCUAAACCCUACUCCUUGUUGUCCUCCUCUCCUCCCCCAGAUGACCUACACCAGCACACUGCAGACCUCCCUUUCUUCCACCACAUUGUCUGAGCACGGGGCUGAGAUCAGCAGCUGGCCAAGCCAUCAUCUGAGCAUGCUCAGCAGAAAUGCUGGUAUUUCCAUACUCACUCAACCAGGGAUGCACUUUCAGGUCCUGCAAAGAGUUC
rnacentral:lncRNA from 12 species